CCAAGCCUUCGGGGCAGGGUGAGGGUCGCAGGGCCCAAAUCCCGACCGGCGGUAAAGCCCGCGAGCGCCUGUGGCGCAUGACCCGGUGAGAUUCCGGGGCCGACGGUACAGUCCGGAUGGGAGAAGGCUGGC
rnacentral:ncRNA from 2 species